AGUGAACGCUGGCGGUAGGCCUAACACAUGCAAGUCGAACGGCAGCACAGGAGAGCUUGCUCUCUGGGUGGCGAGUGGCGGACGGGUGAGGAAUACAUCGGAAUCUACUCUGUCGUGGGGGAUAACGUAGGGAAACUUACGCUAAUACCGCAUACGACCUACGGGUGAAAGCAGGGGACCUUCGGGCCUUGCGCGAUUGAAUGAGCCGAUGUCGGAUUAGCUAGUUGGCGGGGUAAAGGCCCACCAAGGCGACGAUCCGUAGCUGGUCUGAGGGGAUGAUCAGCCACACUGGAACUGAGACACGGUCCAGACUCCUACGGGAGGCAGCAGUGGGGAAUAUUGGACAAUGGGCGCAAGCCUGAUCCAGCCAUACCGCGUGGGUGAAGAAGGCCUUCGGGUUGUAAAGCCCUUUUGUUGGGGAAGAAAUCCAGCUGGCUAAUACCCGGUUGGGAUGACGGUACCCAAAGAAUAAGCACCAGCUAACUUCGUGCCAGCCGCCGCCGUAA
rnacentral:rRNA from 1 species